rnacentral:rRNA from 1 species
GAUGAACGCUGGCGGCGUGCUUAACACAUGCAAGUCGAACGAAGAUGCCGGAGUGCUUGCACUUUGGCAGACUGAGUGGCGGACGGGUGAGUAACGCGUGGGUAACCUGCCUUAUACAGGGGGGAUAACAGUUGGAAACGACUGCUAAUACCGCAUAAGCGCACGGUAUCGCAUGAUACAGUGUGAAAAACCUCCGGUGGUAUAAGAUGGACCCGNGUCUGAUUAGCUAGUUGGUGAGGUAACCGGCCCACCAAGGCGACGAUCAGUAGCCGGCCUGAGAGGGUGAACGGCCACAUUGGGACUGAGACAC